rnacentral:rRNA from 1 species
AGCCUUCGGGCGGGGUGAACCUAGAUUCAAGGAACGUUCGCUCCCCUCAGUAAACUGCGAAUGGCUCAUUACAACAGUUAAAGUUUAUUUGAUAAACAAAUGGAUAACUGUAAAAUACUAGAGCUAAUACAUGCUUUAAUCGUAAGAGUUGUAUUUAUUAGAUAUUCUGAAUUGGUGAAUCAUAAUAACUUCGCAAAUCUCGUCACCACGACGAUGAUAAAUCAUCCAAGUUUCUGCCCUAUCAUGCUUUCGAUGGUAGUGUAUUGGACUACCAACGGACAACCUGGGCACCAGGGAAUUAGGGUUCGAUACUGGAGAAGGAGCCUGUAAAACGGCUACUACAUCUACGGAGGCAGCAGGCGCGUAAAUUACCCAAUCCUGACUCAGGGAGGUGGUGUCAUGAUAUAACGACGCGGUUAUUAUCGCGAUUGUAGUGAGGGUAUUCUAAACAGAACCUAUAGUACGAUUAGAGGGCAAGUCUGGUGCCAGCAGCCGCGGUAAUUCAGCUCUAAUAGCGUAUAUUAAAGUUGCUGCAGUAAAUGCUCGUAGUUGAUUUCAGGAUUGUAAACUUCACGGGAUCAUCUACUAUCUUCGAUGUACUGGAGAAUAUAAGUGUUAGCAGGUUUCAGAUCAAUACUGAAUCAGGGAAAAGACUGGAUCAAUACCAAUAUGGCCGUGGGUAUAAUACACGUGACGGCAUAAUGGGUGAGGGG